UUUCCCAUCUGUCUGCUGUUCUAGUCUCUCAGUGACAGACAGGAGCAGUUAUACGCAUUGGAUGAAACAAUAUUGGGACACUAAAUUGAGAUGAAGUCUCUUGUCUCUUCUGCAUGGUCUAGGCAUUG